rnacentral:rRNA from 1 species
AUUGAACGCUAGCGGGAUGCUUUACACAUGCAAGUCGAACGAGUGGCGGACGGGUGAGUAAUAUAUCGGAACCUGCCCAGUAGCGGGGGAUAACUACUCGAAACAGUGGCUAAUACCGCAUACUAUUGGAGCGGCCGAUAUCGGAUUAGCUAGUUGGUGGGGUAAAGGCUCACCGAGGCAACGAUCCGUAGCUGGUCUGAGAGGAUGACCAGCCACACUGGGACUGAGACACGGCCCAGACUCCUACGGGAGGCAGCAGUGGGGAAUUUUGGACAAUGGGGGAAAGCCUGAUCCAGCCAUCCCGCGUGUAUGAGAAGGCCUUCGGGUUGUAAAGUACUUUUGGCAGGGAAGCGUUAUCUGCAGAAUAAGCACCGGCUAACUACGUGCCAGCAGCCGCGGUAAUUC